UUGUGAUUCAACAUUCAGGACUGGUCAGUGUAAAGCAAAUAAAUGACACUCAUGGAUGCUGGAUCGUGUGUCACCUUGUCUGAUGUGCCUCCAGAUUUGUUGAGAAUGUCACCAUGAAUGUCCAUUGGCAAACUGGAUAAGAAAGAGUGUCACAGUGCAGGACAACCUAGAAGAUGACAGAUACUCCCAGCUCUUCUAUUAUGCAGCAAUAUUAGCAAGUAUCCACUCUGGACUGCAGCAACAUCUGAAUUUCCAGUUCUUGAGAACUUUCCUGCAUCUUCACAAAAAAUGAACAGAGGAUAUUUAUAAGAACAAUCUUCCAAUUAGCCCCCCUCAACAGCCUGUGCCUGGAGCCUUGUCCAUUUUAAUAUAUGCAGCAAAAAGUGCAAACUGAAACUUAUUCAUCUUUAUUUUCUGAAUUGUGGCAAAGUUUAUGAAAUGGACACAAGCUCAGGAAGGAAUCCUGCUCCUGCAGCAAACCUUCUCCCCAGAACAUCCCCAGCCCUGCAGAAGCUCACACCUGGACCUGAGUUGCCCAUCUUCCACACAUGCAUUCAUCUUCCAGAAACAUCCUUAGGCAUCCUGUGGGCUCUGCUCUGCCUUAAACCUCACAUUAGCAUCAUCGAGG